rnacentral:rRNA from 1 species
CGCGUAGGCGGAUCGUUAAGUCAGAGGUGAAAUCCCAAGGCUCAACCUUGGAACUGCCUUUGAUACUGGCGAUCUUGAGUAUGAGAGAGGUAUGUGGAACUCCGAGUGUAGAGGUGAAAUUCGUAGAUAUUCGGAAGAACACCAGUGGCGAAGGCGACAUACUGGCUCAUUACUGACGCUGAGGCGCGAAAGCGUGGGAGCAAACA